rnacentral:rRNA from 1 species
UACGAAGGGUGCAAGCGUUGUUCGGAUUUAUUGGGCGUAAAGCGCGCGCAGGCGGGACGAUAAGUCAGAUGUGAAAUCUCGGGGCCCAACCCCGAAACUGCGUCUGAAACUAUGGUUCUAGAAUCACGGAGAGGGAAAGGGAAUUUCGCAUGUAGGGGUAAAAUCCGUAGAGAUGCGAAGGAACACCAGAGGCGAAGGCGCUUUCCUGGAAGUGUAUUGACGCUGAGGCGCGAAAGCGUGGGGAUCAAACAGG